UGGGGGAUAUUGCACAAUGGGCGAAAGCCUGAUGCAGCGACGCCGCGUGGGGGAUGAAGGCUUUCGGGUUGUAAACCUCUUUCGCUAUCGAACAAGGCCCGCUUAGGGUGGGUUGAGGGCAGGUGGAGAAGAAGCGCCGGCUAACUACGUGCCAGCAGCCGCGGUAAUACGUAGGGCGCGAGCGUUGUCCGGAAUUAUUGGGCGUAAAGGGCUUGUAGGCGGCUUGUUGCGCCUGCUGUGAAAACGCGGGGCUUAACUUCGCGCGUGCAGUGGGUACGGGCAGGCUUGAGUGUGGUAGGGGUGACUGGAAUUCCAGGUGUAGCGGUGGAAUGCGCAGAUCUCUGGAGGAACACCGAUGGCGAAGGCAGGUCACUGGGCCAUUACUGACGCUGAGGAGCGAAAGCAUGGGUAGCGAACAGG
rnacentral:rRNA from 1 species